UUUGCGCAUGGGCGAANCCUGCGCAGCGACGCCGCGUGGGGGAUGAAGCUUCUCGGAGUGUAAACCCCUUUCGACCCGGACGAAUGACCCGCAAGGGUUUGACGGUACGGGUAUAAGAAGCCCCGGCUAACUACGUGCCAGCAGCCGCGGUAAUACGUAGGGGGCCAGCGUUGCUCGGAAUUACNUGGGCGUAAAGGGUUCGUAGGUGGUGCGGCAAGUUGGGAGUGAAAUCUCUGGGCUUAACUCAGAGGCUGCUUUCAAAACUGCCGCGCUCGAGUGCGAGAGAGGUCAGUGGAAUUGCAGGUGUAGCGGUGAAAUGCGUAGAUAUCUGCAGGAACACCCGUGGCGAAGGCGGCUGACUGGAUCGCAACUGACACUGAGGAACGAAAGCUAGGGGAGCAAACAGGAUUAGAUACCCUGGUAGUCCUAGCCCUAAACCAUCGGAACUUGGGGUGGCCCGCGUAGGCGGGUCGUCCCGUAGCUAACGCGUUAAGUUCCGCGCCUGGGGAGUACGGUCGCAAGACUGAAACUCAAAAGAAUUGACGGA
rnacentral:rRNA from 1 species